rfam:Triticum aestivum genome assembly, contig: Triticum_aestivum_CS42_TGACv1_scaffold_643921_T_5DS-0.103378_5BL-0.095134
CUCAUACUCCCUCCGUCCGAAAAUACUCGUUGAAGGGAUGGAUGUAUCUAGACGUAUUUUAAUUCUAGAUACAUUCAUUUUUAUGCAUUUUUUCGACGAGUAUUUCCGGACGGAGCGAGUACUAU